AAAAGUGUGAAGUGGAAAUGAAGAAACAGCCAGAGCCUCGACGAAAACGAAGACACAGUAAUGAGAUGGACCAUCCUCACAGUGACCACCAAUGACAUUAUGUAUGGGAUAAUGUAUACCAGAGCCGUCGCGAGGGAGAAGGAACGGCAGCAUAUGAGGGACGCAUCACAAUCACAUAACCCAAGAGUUAGCGGUGUGAAGUUACACCAGCGGUGGCCAAUACAUGGAUCCCUAUCCACGAGUGGAUCGCAAAAGAUUUUUGGUGGAUCUCAGGACAAAUCGGAACAAGCACUAGCAUGAUGCAGGGGAACUGAUGGCAGGCAAGACUGCAUUAACAGGGAGCCAGGAGUUCAAACAUGAAAAUAUAUUAAAUACAGUGCUUCAAAACGGCACGCAGUGUGCGGAGAGGCAGCCCAUCCCGCUACCAUAAACAGCAAGCAGCGCAUUCUGAGGAACAUGUAGGUAAAGUUGUAUCUUUUUAAUUUUGUUGAUGCAAAAGUAUUGAACUGCACAAGUGUUAUGUAAGAAAGAAAACAAACAAACAAAAAAGAUCUGUAGAUAUUCAACAUUACAUUUGAGCAAAAAUUCUAUUAUUAUUAUUAUUAUUAUUAUUAUUAUUAUUAUUAUUAUUAUUAUUAUUAUUAUUAUAUUUGUGUGCCCCUAAAUUUCAGUGCGUGGCUAUCUAUCUAAAAAAGUUUGCGUAGAGCGUUUGUUAGGUUUUUGGUGUUGUGGUUGUUUUGUUUUAUUAUUACUGUUACGUAUUGGACACUAAUAUAUUAAAUUCCGCUAAUAAUUGUUUGUCAUAGCUUACUGGUGGAUCGCGGAGCCCUUUGAGAUCCACCAAAAUGGAUUGCAGUGUUUUGUGUAUUGGCCACCACUGCCUUAGGUCACCCAGCGGAGCCAUGAGAACCGGAACUGUCCUGGUGACUGUCCACGAUUGAGGAGCUCGCUUGCGGUUCGACCUGUCCCAUGCGGGAGCGCGGGGAGAGAGCAACGCGAACACCUGCUGGGACGCCUCGCAUUCCCGGUGGGAUCUCUGCAAGAUCUCCUCCACAGCUGGCCCAAAGUGAAUGAAGGUGCAGUUGACAGUCUGCAGGCUCCAAAGCCAAGGAACAGAGCUGAGUUUUUAAAAUAUUCCUGUCAGCUCACACUGGACCCCAACACAGCGUAUAGAGAGCUCUGUCUGUCUGAAGGGAAUAGAAAGGUGACACGGAGGAGAGAGACCCAGAGGUAUCCUGAUGAUCACCAAGAGAGAUUUGAGAGCUAUCCCCAAGUGCUGUGCAGAGAGGGUUUGUCUGGGACUCGCUGUUACUGGGAGAUUGAGUGCAGUGGGGGAGGGGCUGCUAUAGGAGUCACAUAUAAAGAAAUCAGCAGGAAAGGAGGGGAUUCCUGUGGCCUUGGAUUCAAUGACAAGUCCUGGAGUUUGCUCUGCUCUGGUUCCAGUUACACUGCCCGGCACAAUAACAAUGAAACUGCAAUAACUGCCCCCCGCUCCCCCAGAAUAGGAGUGUAUCUGGACUUUAAUGCCGGCACGCUGUCCUUUUAUGGCGUCUCUGACACAAUGACCCUCCUGCACAGAUUCCAAACCACAUUCACUGAGCCGCUCUAUCCUGGGUUUUGGGUUUGGGAUUAUGAAUCCCCUGUAACAAUCUGCCAGCUGAACUAGACUGUUUUGUGUUGUAAGAAACCCUUUGUAUUGAACUCCCUGUCUGUCCUCUCCACUCCUCGGGUGAAGGGAAUGUUCAAUCUGACACAACUUUGGAUGAAAGUUAGGGGGUAAAACGGCGCCACCUGCAGAGCGAAACUAGGGAAUUAUUUGUUUUUAUGCUUGUGGCAUAACAUUUGUAAUUGUAAACACUCACACCUGGACAGCUGUUUCAGCAUAAAACGUUCAAUAUGUCGUGAGUAUGAGAAGUAUCUCUUAAGGUGAUUGUAGCUCACUAAAUAAUUCCACACUGUGUUCCUAUAUUGCACUUCCAUGGCUACACAGGACUCAAAUGUGCAGGUUUGAAAAACAUGAUGGGCAAGAUUCUCAGAAAUCCAUGAUCUUGUUUCGAAUGGGAUUUUGUGUCUCAAAUGGAUAUUUAUAGUAUAUAGCUGAACUAUCUGGGAUUUAGGUACAUCUUGCAAAUCUAUAACCCGUGAGGCUUCAUACAUACCUUUAUACAGAAAAGCAAUAGGUACAAGAUGCCUUUUCCUCAUGUUAUAAUUGUAAAUUAGUUUAAAUAUUAGUUUAAAUAUAGUUUGUAAAUUAUCUCAUUGGAAAUGGUUGCAUAUUUACUCUUGACUUGCAUUUAAUUAGAUGUAUCGGGUCUACUCGUCAGGCAGUUCAAAGUUUCAAUAUUAUAAUUGUUUACUUAUUUUAACUAUAAUGUGAGUGAAAUAUCAUCACAAGAAAGAAGACAUUUCCAUGGAUAAAGUAAAUCACAUUCAAUUUGCAUUACAUGUGCAAUCUGCCCACAGUGGAAAGGCAGAAACGUGUUUUAAGCCUGGCCUUUGUCGCCCUCUUCAGGACAAACUCUGCAGCUGCGCAGAGCCUGAUUGAAAGCAAUUCUUUUCACUUGGUGUGGUUCCAUUGGAAAUGUAGGGCUCUAUUCACACAACCUUCAGGACUGUUCCAAGCACUGUUUGGUUAAAGACGCUUUAUAGUUUAAAUCAGGUUGUUUAGAGAGGGGGAGCAGUUUACUGUUUAUUAAUUUUAUUGUUUAUUAUUCAAAGCACCAUUUAAGGUCAACACUUUAUAAUCAGGUUUCAAAUUAAAACCAAAAUAUGAAUGUAAAGAAGGACCAUUUUAAUAACCAUUUUUUUUUUUUUAUGUUUCUGUACUUCAAUUAAUGCAAACGUUUUUUUCAUGUACUUUUUCUUUAAAUGUUUUGUAAAGUUUUAAUUUUCAAUAAAUGAUUUGU